rnacentral:rRNA from 1 species
GUGGGGAAUCUUGCGCAAUGGGCGAAAGCCUGACGCAGCCAUGCCGCGUGGAUGAUGAAGGUCUUAGGAUUGUAAAAUCCUUUCACCGGUGAAGAUAAUGACUGUAGCCGGAGAAGAAGCCCCGGCUAACUUCGUGCCAGCAGCCGCGGUAAUACGAAGGGGGCUAGCGUUGCUCGGAUUUACUGGGCGUAAAGGGCGCGUAGGCGGACAUUUAAGUCAGGGGUGAAAUCCCGGGGCUCAACCUCGGAACUGCCUUUGAUACUGGGUGUCUUGAGUAUGAGAGAGAUGUGUGGAACUCCGAGUGUAGAGGUGAAAUUCGUAGAUAUUCGGAAGAACACCAGUGGCGAAGGCGACACACUGGCUCAUUACUGACGCUGAGGCGCGAAAGCGUGGGGAGCAAACAGGAUUAGAAACCCUUGUAGUCC